rnacentral:rRNA from 1 species
UACAGAGGUCUCAAGCGUUGUUCGGAUUCAUUGGGCGUAAAGGGUGCGUAGGCGGCGCGGUAAGUCGGGUGUGAAAUCUCGGAGCUUAACUCCGAAACUGCAUUCGAUACUGCCGUGCUUGAGGACUGGAGAGGAGACUGGAAUUUACGGUGUAGCGGUGAAAUGCGCAGAUAUCAGGAGGAACACCCGUAGCGAGGGCGGCACUCUGGGCCGAUUCUGACACUGAGGAGCGAAAGCGUGGGGAGCGAACAGG